AUGUGCGUCCCUAAAGUAUGGGGUAGUAUGGGUUUCCGUGAUAUCCAAAGUUUCAAUCUUGCAAUGCUUGCUAAACAAUGCUGGCGGCUCAAUGAUAAUUAUGAUUCGCUAUGUGCAAAAGUUUUAAGAUCAAAGUACUAUCCUUCUGGUGACUUGUUAAACUGUGAUUUAAAGAAGGGAUCCUCCUAUGUAGGGUAAAGCAUUUGGUCGGGAACCCAGACUUUUAAAAAGGGCUGCAUAUGGAGAGUUGGAAACGAAUUGAAAAUCAAUAUUUGGGAGGGCUGUUGGAUACCAAACAGUAGCUCCAGGAAGAUUAUCCCUGCUCGUGGUAAUUGUGUUCUCACUACAGUUAAUGAGCUCAUAAGUCCAGUCACGGGAGAAUGGGAUGAAGCAUUGAUCCGUGGUAAUUUCUGGCAUAUUGAUGCUGAGAGAAUUCUACAAAUUCCAAUAUUUCAGCAUGACACUGAGGAUUUUAUUGCUUAG
rnacentral:rRNA from 1 species